rnacentral:rRNA from 1 species
GACAGAGGUGCCGAGCGUUAGGCGGAAUCACUGGGCUUAAAGCGUGUGUAGGCGGAGUGCUAAGUACCUUGUGAAAUCCCACGGCUUAACCGUGGAACUGCUUGGUAUACUGGUUCUCUUGGGUCAUCUAGGGGCGGAGCGGGAACAAACGGUGGAGCGGUGAAAUGCGUAGAUAUCGUUUGGAACGCCAAUGGUGAAAACAGCUCGCUGGGGAUGCACCGACGCUGAGACACGAAAGCCAGGGAGCGAACGGG